UCAUGUUUCUGUAUUCAUUUUAUGCUUUACAGAGAGGAAAGUGAAGAAUGAAGAACAAUAUCUGAAAUCCAUUGAAACGAUACCAAAAAUCGCUUAACCUUCAAUGAUGGCAGUAGAAGCAGAAGGGAAGCAGGUAGAAACAAGUGAUAGACUAUGACUGCCAAGCAUAAACCAGGUGAAGAUCUUAGACAAUAUUGCGUUCAACAUAUUGACGAUUUCAACUUCAAGUUCCACAGAAAUCUCACUAUUGAAAUGAAGCUCAUCGUAAUGAUCUGAAUUCUAGAGUUUGGGAAAUUGAAAUGAGUAUUCUCUAAUCGAAUCAUUGGAAGGAAUUGAUGUCUCAAAUUGAAUUGAAACUGAGAACGACGUAUUCUUGAAUCAAAUAAUUGAGAGGAUUUGAUGUAAUUAAGCAGAUUAAAGCCACAAAUUAGAAUGGGAUUGGAUUGCGCGAAAUUAUUGUGGUAUGGGAGAUGAUGGUUCUGUGCUUGUGCAAUGUCAUAGAAUUUGAAAAAGACAUCGUGGACACUCAGGUAGGGAAAAGUUUGAUUCUUGCAGGUGUUGCGGAAUCAAAGAAAGAGCAUGGCAAGAAAAUGCUUGAUAAAUUGGAAGCUGACAUGGACGAAUUUGAACAGAUCAUUUUGGACAAGAGUAAGGAUCAAAUUGCACCUAAAAAGAAGGAAUUGCUCUCAUAUGUUGGAGGAACAUGCUGUUUGCAGCGCGAGUUUGGUUAUAAAUGACAAGAUGCAGGAACUACCUUGCAAGCAUUUGUUUCACCCUCCCUGCUUGAUGCCGUGGCUGGCAAUUUCUAGAAGGUUGACAGAGAUAAGUGGAAAGGGAAUGACUAAAAUAUUCAUCACAAAUGUAGGAAAAGUUGGUUCGGUCGACAAGAAGAAGACGCCGAGAAAAUACUUUGGGAAGGCUGCUGAAGAGCGUCAGCUAGAUUCUUUAGCACAGUCACAUCAUGUGCCUUCGAUACUAUUGAUGAUACAGAUCUUCCUCCAAGAUAUGUGAAUAACACAUGUCUUUCUGCAAGAGUUGGAAGGCUAAAUCUAGACUGGAUUGAUCCUGAUUAGUCAGUUGAAUGAGGCUUUCAUCGUGCAAUGGAUCUUGCUGGUAGUGAAUUUUUAGAGGUGUAAUACAAGGUUGUGAGGCAGAGAAGGAGAGUUUUACUUGAUAAACUUACCCGAAAUACAAGUGUACAAAUUGGUGCAUCUGUAAUAUAAAUGUACAUAUUGGUGCACCUGUAACAAGAUGAGUGCAUGAGGAUUUCACUGCCAUUUCAUCCUCGAAACAAGCCUUUUGUAGGAACUGAGAUGGUGGAUUUCACUGCCAUUCUCAUCCUAGAAACAAGCAUAUUUUAUUUUCCUUUGACCAAAUCCAAAAUAAACGUACCUAUCAUUUUUUAGUAAACUCUAAAUAGAAAAUAUGAUCUUUGUGAAAUAGAUGAGCGCUUAGUUCGA